rnacentral:rRNA from 1 species
UACGUAGGGUGCAAGCGUUGCCCGGAUUCAUUGGGCGUAAAGCGCGCGCAGGCGGCCUUCCAAGUCCCGCGUGAAAUCGCCCGGCUCAACCGGGCGGGGUCGCGGGAGACUGGGGGGCUCGAGCGAGGGAGGGGGCAGUGGAAUUCCCGGUGUAGUGGUGGAAUGCGUAGAUAUCGGGGGGAACACCAGUGGCGAAGGCGGCUGCCUGGACCUCUGCUGACGCUGAGGCGCGAAAGCGUGGGGAGCGAUCCGG